GACCUCUUUAUGACUUUAUCAUGUAAACAUCGUGAUUUCUUUUUUUAACCUUAGCAAAAAUUUUUACACUUUGAGAUUAUUAUAUUAAUAUUAGUAUUAUUAUUUUAGUUUUCCAUUUUUUUUUACAAACUAUUUUGUUCAUUUGUUGCGAACUAGCUGUUAAUGGACUUAUCAUUUUUUAAUGAUAUUAUUUUUGUAUCAUUUUUUAAAUAUGUUUUUGCUCUGCUUUUGUUUUCAUUCCCAAUUAUUUUGACUGAAAAAAUACUUUUAGGUCCUAAUUUACGCUUUUUUGUAAAUAGUACUAAUCUUACACUAGUAAUGAAUUUCAAGAAGUAAUUAGUCAUUUUUACAAAGCUUAUUAAAUCAUUUCACUUUGUCUGUCUGUCUCUGAGUGUUAAAAAAUUGUACACUUUAUUAUUGGUAAUUUUUUUAUUCUUGGUAUCUCAAACAAGGGUGAAAAUGUGUACUUAAAUGAAGCGGUGGUAUAAGCUCAAUUUGUCCACUUUAUGGGUCGUCGUUUAAGUCUUAGUGAACACCACAUGAAAACUAGGACGAGAUUAUGGAAAACAAAAAGCUUUAAAAGAUAACUAUACAAUUUUCCGUCAAGUUCCAUAGUCGUAGGUUCUCUACUAACAGAGCGGUUACCGUGUUGGCUUUAGAAGCCUGAAAAGGUUUUAGCUAUGAGUUCGAAUUUAGGUUGUUUCCCCUUUUUUAAUUUGCAUAAUUGUUUUUUUUUUUAUUGUUAGUCUAGAGUCUAGAUCUAUUAAACAUUUAAUUACAUGACAGAUCCAAAAAGAUCGAUACAAAAAUGCUUAACUUAAGCUUUUUUUUUUUCUUUAAUGCAUUUUUUUUGUUUUGUUUUUACUAUAUCAAAUAAACAACAAGUAAUUUUUAGAGUGUCACACUGUUUGGCAACUUUACUCUAAUUUUGUCAUUUACCAUUUUAGUUCCUUUUAUUGGGAGACCAAAACUCGCAUUAAACAACAGACAGAACUAGAUAGAGACAUCCGUUCACAUUAAAGUUAGAUAAAAAAAACAAAAACAAAACAAUAACACGAAAUUGACACUGAAAAAUCGAAAUAGUUGUUUCAGCAAUGUUAAUAAUACUGAUUCUAUGAUGUGUUAUACAGUAUAAUUUUAUUUGAUUAGUGUUUAACAGCUGUAAAAGUUAUAUUAGUAAAAUAAAUAACAAUUAAAUGUGUAAUCCCUCUAUUGCUAGUAUCUGCACAAAUAGUUUAAAACCUGUUA